UGGCUCUCGCAUCGAUGAAGAACGCAGCGAAAUGCGAUAAGUAAUGUGAAUUGCAGAAUUCAGUGAAUCAUCGAAUCUUUGAACGCACCUUGCGCUCCUCGGUAUUCCGAGGAGCAUGCCUGUUUGAGUGUCAUGAAUUCCUCAACUUACAGGCCUUUGUGGUUUGUAAGGUUGGACUUUGGAGGUGUUGUCGGCCAGGCGGUCGGCUCCUCUUAAAUGCAUUAGUUCGGUUCCUUGUGGAUCGGCUCUCAGUGUGAUAAACGUCUACGCUGCGGCCGUGAAGUGUUUGGCGAGCUUCUUGACUGGUCCCUUGUUCGGGGAUGAUUGGAUUGACCUCUGACCUCAAAUCAGGUAGGACUACCCGCUGA
rnacentral:misc_RNA from 1 species